rnacentral:rRNA from 1 species
AACGGACGAGAAGCUUGCUUCUCUGAUGUUAGCGGCGGACGGGUGAGUAACACGUGGAUAACCUACCUAUAAGACUGGGAUAACUUCGGGAAACCGGAGCUAAUACCGGAUAAUAUUUUGAACCGCAUGGUUCAAAAGUGAAAGACGGUCUUGCUGUCACUUAUAGAUGGAUCCGCGCUGCAUUAGCUAGUUGGUAAGGUAACGGCUUACCAAGGCAACGAUGCAUAGCCGACCUGAGAGGGUGAUCGGCCACACUGGAACUGAGACACGGUCCAGACUCCUACGGGAGGCAGCAGUAGGGAAUCUUCCGCAAUGGGCGAAAGCCUGACGGAGCAACGCCGCGUGAGUGAUGAAGGUCUUCGGAUCGUAAAACUCUGUUAUUAGGGAAGAACAUAUGUGUAAGUAACUGUGCACAUCUUGACGGUACCUAAUCAGAAAGCCACGGCUAACUACGUGCCAGCAGCCGCGGUAAUACGUAGGUGGCAAGCGUUAUCCGGAAUUAUUGGGCGUAAAGCGCGCGUAGGCGGUUUUUUAAGUCUGAUGUGAAAGCCCACGGCUCAACCGUGGAGGGUCAUUGGAAACUGGAAAACUUGAGUGCAGAAGAGGAAAGUGGAAUUCCAUGUGUAGCGGUGAAAUGCGCAGAGAUAUGGAGGAACACCAGUGGCGAAGGCGACUUUCUGGUCUGUAACUGACGCUGAUGUGCGAAAGCGUGGGGAUCAAACAGGAUUAGAUACCCUGGUAGUCCACGCCGUAAACGAUGAGUG